GCUAGACGAAACUGGGAUUAGAUACCCCACUAUGCUCAGCCGUAAAAUAUUAACCCACACUUAAGCCGCCAGGAAAUUACGAGCCCAAGCUUAAAACCCAAAGGACUUGACGGUGUUCCACCCCACUAGAGGAGCCUGUUCUAUAAUCGAUUCCCCCCGAUCAACCCCACCACCUUUUGAAUACUCAGCCUGUAUACCUCCGUCGCAAGCUUACCCUAUGAACGCACCCAGUGAGCCUAAUGAUUUAACACCCAUACGUCAGGUCAAGGUGCAGCCCACAAGGUGGAAAGAAAUGGGCUACAAUUUCUAUUUUAGAAUAAACGAAAGACUACAUGAAACAUACCCCCUGAAGGCGGAUUUAGUAGUAAAAAGAAAAUAGAGAGUUCUUUUUAAUUAGGCACUGGAACGCGUACACACCGCCCGUCACCCUCUUCAAGCACAAACAUUAUGUUAUUAACACCACACACCCCUAUAGAAGAGGUAAGUCGUAACACGGUAAGCGUACUGGAAAGUGCGCUUGGAAUAACAAA
rnacentral:rRNA from 1 species